rnacentral:rRNA from 1 species
UACGUAGGGUGCAAGCGUUAAUCGGAAUUACUGGGCGUAAAGCGUGCGCAGGCGGUUAUGCAAGACAGAUGUGAAAUCCCCGGGCUUAACCUGGGAACCGCAUUUGUGACUGCAUAGCUGGAGUACGGCAGAGGGGGAUGGAAUUCCGCGUGUAGCAGUGAAAUGCGUAGAUAUGUGGAGGAAUACCGAUGGCGAAGGCAGCCCCCUGGGUCAAGACUGACGCUCAUGCACGAAAGCGUGGGGAGCAAACAGG